GAUGAACGCUGACAGAAUGCUUAACACAUGCAAGUCAAUGAGAAGACUAUACUUUGUAAAAAGUAUGGAGGUUAUCAUGGCGGACGGGUGAGUAACGCGUAAAGAACUUGCCUUUUAGACUGGGAUAACAGUUGGAAACGACUGAUAAGACUGGAUAAGAUAUAUUUAUCGCAUGAUGGAUAUAUAAAAAGAGAUGCUAAAAGAGAGCUUUGCGUCCUAUUAGCUAGUUGGUGAGGUAAGGGCUCACCAAGGCGAAGAUAGGUAGCCGGCCUGAGAGGGUGAACGGCCACAAGGGGACUGAGAUACGGCCCUUACUCUUACGGGAGGCAGCAGUGGGGAAUAUUGGACAAUGGAGGGAACUCUGAUCCAGCAAUUCUGUGUGCACGAAGAAGGUUUUCGGAUUGUAAAGUGCUUUCAGCAGGGAAGAAGGAAGUGACGGUACCUGCAGAAGAAGCGACGGCUAAAUACGUG
rnacentral:rRNA from 1 species